rnacentral:rRNA from 1 species
ANCAUUUAGUGGGGAAUAACUGUUGGAAACGACAGCUAAUACCGCAUAAUAUUGCUGGAUAAUUUCCAGUAAUGAAAGGAGCUUUCAAGCUCCGCUGAUUGAUGAGGAUGCGGCGCAUUAGCUAGUUGGUAGGGUAAUGGCCUACCAAGGCAAUGAUGCGUAGCCGAUCUGAGAGGAUGAACGGCCACAUUGGGACUGAGACACGGCCCAAACUUCUACGGAGGGCAGCAGUAGGGAAUUUUUCACAAUGGGCGAAAGCCUGAUGGAGCAAUGCCGCGUGACUGAUGAAGGUCUUCGGAUUGUAAAGGUCUGUUGUAAGGGAAGAAAUGGUAAAACAGGAAAUGGUUAUAUCUAUGACGGUACCUUACCAGAAAGCCACGGCUAACUAUGUGCCAGCAGCCGCGGUAAUACAUAGGUGGCAAGCGUUAUCCGGAUUUAUUGGGCGUAAAGGGNGCGUANAC